UCCUUUCUAUGGUCAGGAGACGCUGC
rnacentral:piRNA from 1 species